UCCCUGGUAGUAUAUCGGUUAGUACACGCGCCUGUCAUGACGCAGGUUUUGCACGUGUACGGUUCGCGCGAAAGCGGGGUUCGACUCCCCGCCAGGGAG